rnacentral:lncRNA from 1 species
GACAGGGCUUAUACAUAUGAUCUUGCAGAUCUUCUUUUAUUGUUAGAUUUUACUGAUCAAGUGGCAUGAUAAUGUUAAUACAAUCGACAAUCAAUAUAAAAAAUGACGCAAUCAAGAUGUAAAAUACCUUAUAUAAGAUAGUAUAAAAGAGUAUAAAUAAGUAUAGGGGAACAUAACACCGUAUCUAUCAUUGUGAAAUUAGGUGUGAAAGGGGAGUCAAGUAUGGUAACUUUGCAGUUACUCGAGCGUUAUGGGUACCUAUUGAUUGUGAAGGUGAGGUCCUAAAACCAAAAAAA